rnacentral:rRNA from 1 species
CAGUAGCCGCGGUAAUACGUAGGGCGCAAGCGUUAUCCGGAAUUAUUGGGCGUAAAGAGCUCGUAGGCGGUUUGUCGCGUCUGCUGUGAAAUCCCGAGGCUCAACCUCGGGCCUGCAGUGGGUACGGGCAGACUAGAGUGCGGUAGGGGAGAUUGGAAUUCCUGGUGUAGCGGUGGAAUGCGCAGAUAUCAGGAGGAACACCGAUGGCGAAGGCAGAUCUCUGGGCCGUAACUGACGCUGAGGAGCGAAAGGGUGGGGAGCAAACAGGCUUAGAUACCCCUGUAGUCCCUGUCUCUUAUAC